GACGAACGCUGGCGGCGUGCCUAAUUCAUGCAAGUUGAGCGCUGAAGGUUGGUACUUGUACCAACUGGAUGAGCAGCGAACGGGUGAGUAACGCGUGGGGAAUCUGCCUUUGAGCGGGGGACAACAUUUGGAAACGAAUGCUAAUACCGCAUAAAAACUUUAAACACAAGUUUUAAGUUUGAAAGAUGCAAUUGCAUCACUCAAAGAUGAUCCCGCGUUGUAUUAGCUAGUUGGUGAGGUAAAGGCUCACCAAGGCGAUGAUACAUAGCCGACCUGAGAGGGUGAUCGGCCACAUUGGGACUGGGACACGGCCCAAACUCCUACGGGAGGCAGCAGUAGGGAAUCUUCGGCAAUGGACGAAAGUCUGACCGAGCAACGCCGCGUGAGUGAAGAAGGUUUUCGGAUCGUAAAACUCUGUUGGUAGAGAAGAACGUUGGUGAGAGUGGAAAGCUCAUCAAGUGACGGUAACUACCCAGAAAGGGACGGCUAACUACGUG
rnacentral:rRNA from 1 species